AUGGCCAACGCCAUCAUGUUCUUUGACAUCACAGUUGAUGGUAAUCCCUUGGGGUACACAUUUUUUGAGCUAUUUGCAAAAGUGUAAAACCAGCAGAAAACUUUCAUGCUCUAAGCACUGGAGAGAAAUGUUUUGCAUAUAUUAGUUCCUUCUUUCACAGAAUUAUUCUAGGAUUCAUGUUCUAGAGUGAUGACUUCACAUGCCAUGACACUGGUAUCAGAUCCAUGUAUGGGAAUAAAUUUGAAGAUGAGCGUUUCAUCCUGAAGCAUUCAAGUCCUGGCACCUUGUCAAUGGCAAAUGUUGGAUCAAACAUAAAUGGUUCCCAGUUUAUAUCUUUAUGUCAAAACUGAGUGUCUAAAUGGCAAGCAUGUGGUCUUUGCUCCUAAAGUGAAAGAAGGCAUGAGCAUCAUGGAAGCCAUAAAGCAUUUCAGGUCCAGGAAUGGCAAGACCAGCAAGAAGAUCAUCAUUUCUGACCAUAGAAAA
rnacentral:lncRNA from 1 species